rnacentral:lncRNA from 1 species
AGUAAGACAUUAAUAAUAUUCCCUUCUGAAUAGUAUGGUUAACUGCCCGCCUCCAACCCAGUGUGUCCCUCACUGCUUCGUUAAUUACCUUAAUUAUUUGUUUAACCUCUUAAAGAUUUUUUCAAUAUAAAAUAAUAUCAAGAGAACUACUUAAUUGAGUACUCUUCCUCACUUUCUUCCAGCCCUAACCAACCACCCCAUUUCCCCAAAUACACCUGUACUAAAUCAGGUAUAUAUCAGGAAAUACAUGGGCUGGUUAAUUCCUGGUCUUCAAUUUCUGUCCUUUAUUAGUAAAGAAAACAUUCUACUGCUUUACACAGUGCUUUGUGCCUUAAAUGAGAUUUCUCCUAGACCGCAAUAAAUAUUUGCUAAUUUUGAUUUAAUUUAAAGACGAGGGAGGUUAAUCAAGAGCAAUUAAUCAAGAGCACAAACUAGAUGUCAUAAAUAAAUAAAUACAUUUUAAAAUUCUCCAACAACCUUUGAGUUAUUUCUAGUCUAGCAAUAUUCAUUCUGAUUUGGAAACCAAAAGUAAAAUUCUAUGGCCCCCAACCAACUGAAUGGAUCCCUCCUCUGGGCCAAGGGCAUUCUAAAGUAAACCUGAAACACUAGUUCAGGCCGUGAUGGGAAUGGGUGGUUGGACAUGCCUCAUUAUAACUUCCUCUCUUUGGAAUUCAGGCACAGCUGACUAGCAUUAACAUUAAUACAGCGACCUUAUGAUUGACAAAACAGACUCUCUCUAGUAACAAGAUAUCAACAUGACAGAUAGCAGGCCCUGAAAGAAAUGUCUUUAGAUGAACUCUUUCAACCAACUGCCAAUCAGAAAAUCUUUGAAUCCUCCUACGACAUGGAAGCCACUUCAAGUUGUCCCGCCUUUUUGGACCAAACCAAUGAAAACUCUACUCUCACUGCCCUGUUUGAUCUGCAUAUGAAACUCGGAAAAACCAUAAGACACCUGGACGACAGCUGGCCAGAAGCUGCCCCGUACCCUAACCCGCAAGGAUGUGGACACAUUUCUAGAAAUCACUCCAGCUUUUAAAGUAGAGAGACACUGGCUAUUGAAGCAGAAAAUCUAUGUUGAACACAAGCUGCACCGCAUACUAGCUGAGCAACUAACUACUGGCAUGUUCCUUCACUUGCUGACUUGCAAAACAAAUUUCUUUCCUAUCUAUCUCUUAAGGACACAAGAUAAUAUAAUAUUGUUAAUAUUACAUUUAUUAAUGAUGUAAUAUAUGAGAAAACACAUUGUAAACUCUAAAAUACUAAAAAUGUAAGGAAACUGUACUAGCAGUAUCAAGAUAUUUUCCCAUCAUAACAGCUAACAGUUAUUCUAUUGUUGUAGUCAGCCAUUUUUCUCUCAAUUCUGUUAAAAUAAAA